CAGGGCUUAAAUGUAGUCUGACAGGGGUGGAAACACCCUUUUCUUCGGACAGAUUACAAGGUGCUGCAUGGUUGUCGUCAGCUCGUGCCGUGAGGUGUCAGGUUAAGUCCUAUAACGAGCGCAACCCCUGUUGUUAGUUGCCAGCGAGUCAAGUCGGGAACUCUAACAAGACUGCCGGUGCAAACCGUGAGGAAGGUGGGGAUGACGUCAAAUCAUCACGGCCCUUACGUCCUGGGCCACACACGUGCUACAAUGGCAGGUACAAUGGGCAGCCACUGCGUAAGCAGGAGCGAAUCCACAAAACCUGUCUCAGUUCGGAUCGGGGUCUGCAACUCGACCCCGUGAAGCUGGAAUCGCUAGUAAUCGGAUAUCAGCCAUGAUCCGGUGAAUACGUUCCC
rnacentral:rRNA from 1 species